rnacentral:rRNA from 1 species
GAUGAACGCUGGCGGCGUGCUUAACACAUGCAAGUCGAACGAUGAAGCCCAGCUUGCUGGGUGGAUUAGUGACGAACGGGUGAGUAACACGUGAGUAACCUGCCCUUGACUCUGGGAUAAGCGCUGGAAACGGCGUCUAAUACCGGAUACGAGCUUCCACCGCAUGGUGAGUUGCUGGAAAGAAUUUCGGUCAAGGAUGGACUCGCGGCCUAUCAGGUAGUUGGUGAGGUAACGGCUCACCAAGCCGACGACGGGUAGCCGGCCUGAGAGGGUGACCGGCCACACUGGGACUGAGACACGGCCCAGACUCCUACGGGAGGCAGCAGUGGGGAAUAUUGCACAAUGGGCGCAAGCCUGAUGCAGCAACGCCGCGUGAGGGACGAAGGCCUUCGGGUCGUAAACCUCUUUUAGCAGGGAAGAAGCGAAAGUGACGGUACCUGCAGAAAAAGCACCGGCUAACUACGUG